AGACAAAGGUGAUUACUCCAUCCUAAUCCUCUUGGAUCUCUCAGCGGCAUUUGACACCAUUGAGCAUAGGAUUUUAAUAGAGAGCUUGCAGCACAUCUGUGUUCUAGGAGGCACAGUCCUUAACUGGUUUAAAUCUUUCCUCACUGGUAGAUCACAGAGAGUAACAUCAGGAUCAAGCUCAUCGGCACCAACAGAACUGACCUGCGGAGU